rnacentral:lncRNA from 1 species
GGCUGGUCUUGAACUCCCGACCUCAAGUGAUCUGCAUGUCUUGGCCUCCCAAAGUGCUGGAAUUACAGGCAUGAGCCACUUUGUCCAGCCUAUUUUUUUAUUCUUUGAUAUGACUACAGAUCAGUGAAAAUGUUGUCACAGAUCAGCACUGCUCUAUCGACUGGCAUUUGGAAAACACUAGCUCAAGGACAGUGGAGAAAUUUCUGAUGAAAGAUGUAAAACAUCUCAACAAGAUAAGGACAGAAACAAUUCAGCAACCACAUCCAGUUCAGUGUUUGCCCAAUUCUUGUGUUUGGAGUCUCUCUAGCCCUGCAGAACCUCUUCGGAUGAUCCGUUGAAGCACUCAUCUUUAGCCACUGGAAAUGCUCUGGAAGGCCUUUUAAAAAUUCCAGAAAUGAGUAUCCAUACUCUGCAUGAUGUGAGAAAUUCCAAGCUGAAAAAUCAACGAAAAAAAUGUUCCUUUAUUAGUGAUACUGAUGGCAGCAGGGGCCAUCUGGAGCGGCCACUGCCAUCAUGCCAGCUGUAGCAAGGAGGCACAGCUGGGGCUGCACACUCCGUGGAGCUGGCAACAAGUGGGAGCCCCACCCCUUCCAAGUUGGUGGAGCAGGAGCUCCCAAGGUGCAGCCGCAGCCGCUCCAAACACAGCUGCUGACCCAGGCCUCCCACUCCGUAGAGCUGGC